AAAAAAGUUAAAGAUAUAUAAGGGUGUGGAAUAGAGAGGGUGGUGUUUGGAAGGGUUUAGGUGAACAAGAAAGAGCUCAUACUUGCAAAAAUUUGUGAUCCAUACCUCUGCUUGGCAAAUCCAAUCAUGCAAAGCAUACUCUCUAACUGGUUUCUCAACUUUGCUGAUGUCAUUUCUUUGCAAAAGAAGCAGUGAAGAAGGCCACAACUUUUUCAUCUCAAUUUCCAUUUGUCCAUAAGAACUCACGAUACAGGCAAUGACUACAUUAGUGCUGUCUCCUAUUCUGAAGCCCAUUCCAUUUAGCCAUGACUACAAAUUCAGCUUCAAUGUUCGACACCUUAAUCUCAAUUCCAGUUGAAGCUAGGUGUACAAAACACGUCUGCCAGCAUGGUGUACAGAUUCAGAAGAUAAGGAUGAUGAGCUUUAAUUCAUACCAAACGUAACAGCUUUAUACAUCCAGUUGAGUUUGCCGCAACAACCAUAUUAGAUUUUCUUCUCCAGCAAACACUUGAAACAAAUUGUCCAUUGUCGUCAUCAGUCUCUUUACCAGAGAUUGGAUCAAUAGAGCCAAACUUGUGAGAAGUAAUAGGCAUAGGCAGAGAUUUGUAAUAAGCAAAGACCUCAUUU
rnacentral:misc_RNA from 1 species